GCCUGGGUGGCUCAGUCGGUUAAGGGUCUGACUUCAGCUCAGGACAUGGUCUCACGGUUCGUGGGUUCGAACCCCAUGUCGGGCU
rnacentral:tRNA from 1 species